UACCAGCACCCCGAGUGGUCGGGACGUUUAUUGGGCCUAAAGCAUCCGUAGCCGGUUCUACAAGUCUUCCGUUAAAUCCACCUGCUUAACAGAUGGGCUGCGGAAGAUACUAUAGAGCUAGGAAGCGGGAGAGGCAAGCGGUACUCGAUGGGUAGGGGUAAAAUCCGUUGAUCCAUUGAAGACCACCAGUGGCGAAGGCGGCUUGCCAGAACGCGCUCGACGGUGAGGGAUGAAAGCUGGGGGAGCAAACCGG
rnacentral:rRNA from 1 species